rnacentral:rRNA from 1 species
UACGGAGGGUGCAAGCGUUAUCCGGAUUUACUGGGUUUAAAGGGUGCGUAGGUGGGCAGGAAAGUCAGUGGUGAAAUCUCCGGGCUUAACCCGGAAACUGCCAUUGAUACUAUUUGUCUUGAAUACUUUGGAGGUAAGCGGAAUAUGUCAUGUAGCGGUGAAAUGCUUAGAUAUGACAUAGAACACCAAUGGCGCAGGCAGCUUACUGGGCAGUAAUUGACGCUGAGGCACGAAAGCGUGGGGAGCAAACAGG